CUCCGCAUCUCUCAAGCAUCCUCACUUCUCAAGGAGAAAAUGAAUUAUGUGACCACUUGAGCUCCGAGAACGGUGAUGGUGGGCUGAACCUACUGGAUACUGCGCUCAAGAAAUCUUAAAUCCAUCUCCCCGGAGCAGCUAACCUCCUGGAUCAGCUCCAGACCUAGGACUGUACUUUUAAAACCCAAGCCCUUUGGCAGUGGGGAGGCAGCCUCCAGCACCUAGCAACGGAGAAACCAGGCCGAGUGUGAUUGGUCAGUUCCAGCUCAAAGGAGGGACGUCGUGAACUGAUUGGGUGGCAAUGCUUUUAAAAGGGAGAUGCCAGCAACCGCGAAGAAGCAAGUCCAUGGGGCUCUGCUAUCCUGAGAACCAGAGAACAAGAGAACUAGCCGGAAGGAGAAAGGACAGUCUGCAGUUCAGAAUUCCCACUCCUGCCAGGGCAGGUCAGAGAGGAGCACUCCAGGUGGAGACCCAUGGAUGGCUGCCUGGCUGUGGUGCUUCACUACCUCUGAGACAAUCCCCUUCCAUCCGUCUUUUCCUCAUUAAAUCUCAAGGAAGGGGAGGGGGGCCUGGAGAGGGCAGCCCCUCCCUGAACAAAGCUUUCUCUCCCUUCAGCAGAAGCAUCCAACUCUCUGCCAUCCUGAAAAGUAAGUGGUUAGACUGCAGGAAUCUAGGUGAGAACAGCAGAGCGGGGUGCAAGCUUGGAGUCAGACAGACUCGGGCCCCUGUUCAGUCCCUUAAGACACGUGCAACGUGGCAGCGCUCCCAGGCACCUCCCUCCUCAAGUAAGGUCCUUCAACCAGUAGCAUUGACAUCACCUGUUAGAAACCAGAAUCCUAGAUCACCUGGAUCCAGAUCUGUGUUUUAGUAAGAUCUCUGGUGACCCAUGUGCACACUGCCUUUUAAGAAACACUGUUCAAGUGGCUCUGAG
rnacentral:lncRNA from 1 species